CCUGUUCAGUGUCCCGAUCUGUUUUGCCUGCCUACUGUUUGUUUGUGUUUUGUUUAUUAAAACCUUAAACUGCAUUUGGAUCCUCACUCGCCUUUGUCUCACCGUGUCACAAGCGUGACAGAGUCAUUUAUCAUUUACCUUUUGUACUGCUGUGUUCACUUGUCUUGAAGUUCAAUUAUUAAAAGCUUGAUAAUUAGAUUUUUUUCAAGGAUUUAGUUUUUCCAAUAGCUCUGGUAUUUCAAGUCUGAUACUGCAUGUUAGUGUUUUUGUCUUAUGUUGCUAGGCUUGAUGCUAAAAUGAUCUUUUCUUUCUUUUCAGAUUUUUCAAAGAGACCGUUUCAUAUGCAGUGGACGUGUAAGCACUGCACAUUUUGUGCUGACAAGAGGGGCUACUUACCCUUACUUGCAUUACCGCUUGAAACAUGGGUGCCACACUCGAAUAUCACCACUACCAUGCCUUCAUAAGGAAUGCCUGUGCACAUUUAAAUCUUUCAGUGCACUCAAAGUCCAUUUAUCAUCAUGGCACACUCAAAAGGACCUAGGGAACAUGGGUGAAAUUGCUUUGCAUUGUCAGCUGUGUGACUUUGUGGAGCCUUGCACUGAAGCUGACUUUUUUUACCCAUUUACGAAGACAUUUGAAGCUGAAGCAAAAGGUUUCUUGUCCAUAUCAAGGCUGUAACUUUCAGAGCAAUGUUUAUUCAACUUUUAAUGCACAUAAAAGCAAAGAACAUAAAGACCAAAAUAAGAUGGCAUUCAAAAUUGUCACAUAAUGAACUUGAGGAACCUUCACCUCAUAUAAAUAUUCAACCCGAGGAUAGUGCCCAUGAAACUAAUGAGGUUGAGUUUGAGGUUACUGAGCUCAGUAAAGAUGUGGAGAACUUGGAGAGUCAGUUGGAACAUAAUGUAGCUGCUCUUUUUCUGAAAAUGUCAUCAAUUCUUAACAUCUCUGAAAAUGCCCUGCAAGAAGUUAUACAGCAGAUCAACCAAAUUCAUGUGCUUUCACAGCCAUUGUUACAUACAUCUGUUGGAAAAAUACUAAAUCAACAUUGUGGAGAUGUUGAGGACUCUUUAGUGAGUGAGAUAGCUAAAGUAUUUACUGAGAAUAAUUCAUUCCUGAAAUUCACUUCUACUGGGGGGUCAUUGUCAACCACUAGCAAGCGAACAUCAUACAUUUCAAAAGAAUUCUCAGUGGUAACGCCUGUUGAGAUUGUCCUAAAAAAUGACAGGCAGACAAUUGUGUAUAUCCCCAUACUAAAAAUGCUGCAGACAUUACUAAACAAUGGAGACAUUUUAGAUAAGGCCUUGUCACCUGAGACAAAUUUGGCACAAGGAUACAGAUCUCACAGGGAUGGUUCCCGGUUUAAAGACAAUUCUUUCUUGACAGAGGAUGAAAUCAGGGUUGCUCUUUACUUGUACAUAGAUGAUUUUGAGGUGGCUAACCCCUUGGGAACCUCCAGAAAGAAACACAAGCUAUGUGCCAUUUACUGGGUACUUGAAAAUCUACACUCUAAUCUAAAUAUCGCUUCUCUUUUCAUACCAUCCAGCUUGCUGUACUUUUCAAGGUCAGCAGUCUCAAAGACCAUGGUUAUGGUGAAAUUCUCCGCCCACUCAUUCAGGACCUUGUUUUUCUUGAGCAACAGGGUGUAUAUGUUGAACAGUUAGGAGCCAGCAUAAAAGGUACAGUAUUAUUUGUUGCAGCAGAUAAUUUAGCUGCCCAUUCUUUGGGAGGGUUCUUUGAAAGCUUGACAGUAAGUCAGAUGUGCCGAUUCUGUAUGGCCACACGGGAGGAAAUACAACACAAGGAAGUGCGGACAGGCUCAUUUCAACCAAGAACAAAAGAAAAUCAUGAUAGAGAGGUGCAAGAUGUAUUGCAGGAUCCUACCAUGGCUCAACAAUAUGGCGUGAAAAGAAGCUGCCCACUUAGUGAAAGCUUGGAACAUUUUCAUGUUGUCAAUGGUUAUCCUCCAGAUCUUUUGCAUGAUCUUCUGGAGGGUGUUGUUCCGGCUGAACUGGCCUUGUGCUUGAAGGCACUGAUAUCAAAGAGAUACUUCUCACUUGAAAUCUUGAAUGUGGCUAUUAAAAAGUUUCCAUAUACACUUUCAGACAGAACAAACCAACCCCAGCUCAUCGCAAAGAACUUUGCUUCCAAAGCAACAAUUGGAGGAAAUGGUCAUGAAAAUUGGACACUCCUUCGCCUUCUGACACUACUGAUAGGUCAUCACAUUCCUGAGGGGGAUGAAACCUGGGAGGUUUUAAUGAACUUAAAAGAUGUAGUGGAAUUGUCAGUGUCUGCAAACUUCUCAGAGGAGUCAGUGUGCUUUCUUGACUGCAAGAUUUCAGAACAUAGAGAGAUAUUUCAGAAGGUUUUCCCGAACGAGAAGCUACGACCGAAGCACCACUACAUUGAGCACUACCCUCAACUAAUUCAAACUUUUGGUCCAUUGUGUGAUGUGUGGACAAUGUGUUUUGAAGGCAAACACAAGUUCUUCAAGAAAGUUGUGAAUCACAUUCAGAACAUACCCCUUACUUUAGCGGUCAGACACCAGCAUAUGAUAGCCUUCCAUUUAGCUGCUACCUCCUUUUUCAAGCCAUCUGUUGAAAUUAACAAAGUGAAGUCUAUAAUUGUUGCUUCAUUUCCUGAAAAUGUGAAGAACUGUCUCUAUCUCAUGAAUAACUACCAGAACACAGUCCUUGAAGCAGCUUCUGUUUGCAUUGAUGGCAUUAAGUAUAGUGCUAAUAUGGUUAUUUCCGUUGGAUCGUGCUCAGGGCUCCCAGAUUUCAGACAAAUAGCAAAGAUUGUGGUGAACAAUACAGACAUAAUAUUUGUCAGCAGACUCAUGACAUCAUGGUAUAAUGAGCAUCGUCCACGUUCUCUGUCACUCAGUUGUCUGAACUAAAUGAUGUUUUCCCGAUUUCACUUUACAGAGUUGGAGACAAGCAGCUUGUCACACUUAAAUGGCACAUAUUAUGCUGAGUGAGUCAACAGUUAUCAAAAUGGACCAGAGGUUGUUGCUGAGAGUCAUCAUCACUGAAGAUGAUAUAAGGAAGUUGAGAGACCACAGUCCAUUGAAGAAUUCAAAGUGCAACUGUUGGAUAAACUGUCACUGCAGUAUGACUUUAAACUACAGUAUGAAGUUCAAGACUUCAAAAAUGCCCAAGACAAGAAAUUGUAAAAAAGGAGCCUGCUGUACAGACAAUGGUUGAACGAUGGCCAGCACUCUUUACAGAGAGACAGGUGUUUGCUGAGUUUAAUAGAAUCACCAGUAAGAAUCUUGAGGGAGACUUCUUUGAGGCUCUGGACCAGUAUGCCCCACGUUUCAUCGAACUUUUCAAAACUAAAAAGGGAACUGUUGGCCAGAAACUCAGGGGGCUGAUGCAGCACAUGAGCUGGAUGACACCAGACAUGACAGUACUUUGCUCUGUUGUCCUCAAAGGCAUUCCCAUUUUACUCAGUGAUGACCCCAGUGAAUUCUACAAGACCUGCUCUGAUACAGCGAGAGACGAGGCCCUAGAACGCAUCAGUGUUGGUGUGCCGACAGUUGUUAGUGAAGAUAGUCCUCAAGAGGGUCAAAGCUCAGUGGACCUCCAGCCCAUCUCCACUGCCAUCAUUCUGGAGGGAGGUAUUGUCAUGGAUCAUAUUAAAAACUUGCCUCAGGCAGUUUGUUUUUUGGGCUUACAUAUGCAUUGCAUUUGGAUUACCCAAAAUGCAUGGCAAAUACACUCAACUUCAUUCAGACUGUGAUGCUUGGACUGGGAAACAAAAAACUCCCACCAAAACUGUUAACUCUGAAGAACAGUCUUCUGGGUUAGAACAGUAAAGAGCCAUCAGCUGUCAGAUAGCACUUUGUAAGCUUUGCAUCCAUUAAUGUUCUCCUUUUAUCAGAGAAAGUUUGAUUCUUUCAUGCAACUGUUCUCACUUAUUUACGAUCACAAUUAAAAAAAAAAGAAAAAUUCCAUUGAAGUCUGUACCAUGUUAUGCAGGUAUGCUAAUGGUGGAAAUAAUGUUGUUUGCAAAGAGUUGUUAGUUGUUAUUAGAUGAUAAUGUCAGAAAAGAACCUGGCAAGAAUGUCUUGUUCACAUUUGUAUUUUGGGAACACUUUUAAUAAUUGUAAUGUAGUACAAAUACAAACCCCAAGGAGUGAUGUUUUUCUUUUUGUUGGUUUAAUCUUUGGACUGUUCAAUUUGGGAAACAAAAGCAUUUGUUGUAUUUUCAGUUUUUGAUCAGAAAUGCACUGAUUUUGCAUGCACUGAAGUCCUGUAGUUAUCAGGUGUUUACCUGUUUAAUAUUGGGAGACUUAUUAGCUCACAGAAAUAUGGUUUUAUUUUUUAUAUUUUUCCAAGUCAUUUUCUACAGUUAAAUCAAACAACAACUUUGUUGUUUAGCUGCUGUUUUAUACUUGAAUGUGCAUUGAAUAAAUGUCGUAAUGGAGCUGAACCAACCCAGUGAGUGUUCUUUUAAAGUAUAUGUUUGU